rnacentral:rRNA from 1 species
UACGUAGGGAGCAAGCGUUGUCCGGAAUCAUUGGGCGUAAAGCGCGCGUAGGCGGCCCGAUAAGUCCGCUGUGAAAGUCAACGGCUCAACCGUUGAAAGCCGGUGGAUACUGUCGGGCUAGAGUACGGAAGAGGCAAGUGGAAUUCCUGGUGUAGCGAUGGAAUGCGCAGAUAUCAGGAGGAACACCUAUAGCGAAGGCAGCUUGCUGGGACGUAACUGACGCUAAGGCGCGAAAGCGUGGGGAGCGAACAGG